AAACUGCAAUUUUCAUUUCUGUUGCAAGCAGAUUUUGCAUGCUCGGCUUAAACAAAAACAGGACAAGUAGAGCUCUAAGAGGAUGCUUAAAGAGGUCUCUUCUAUGCAGGAACUUCCUCUGUGGCAGGAAGCAGAACUUCUACAAAUUCUCUCUCCUUACUGUGACCCUAUUGUGCAACUAGACCAGGCACUGCCCUGUACAGGAAACAUAAAAUCACGUUACGACGAUUUGUACGUGGGGAAAGAGCCAUGCAGAGCAUCCUAAUAAAACAUCCACGCAGAAGAACUGAACAAGCAGAACACUCCUUCUGAAAAACUCCAAGGCACCGAACGCUCCAAGGACUCACUGCAGUGAGUGCAACCCCAGUGCUCGGAGGAGGCAGUUAUCAUGAUGUUCAUUUGACAGCCAAGGACAUGGAAGCAGAGUUGUAAAGUGAUUUCCGGAACAUACUGCAGACAGCUAGAGGCUGAUCCAGACGGUGAAAUCCUAUUACCUGAUUUCUGAUUUCCAGCACCGCCACAAUGCCAGACUGAGCAGGGUCUCUCUUUCCCAGCUUCCCACUUCUUUUCUCUGUCUAGCACAGCAUAAACACUUCAAAAACACAUUGUCCCACCACACUAACAAUGAAGCCAAUAUUCUGUGUUCU